CGGGACUGGAUGGCAAGAGGCGGGGCGGCCUGCCGUGGUGGGCGGUUCUUAGUUGCUCUACUCCAGGACAAGGGUUUUCCUUUUCAAAGCUGUUUUCUAGAUAAGGUUUCCUGGUCCAGGUACCCCAAGGCCUAGAGCUGAGCUACCUGAGCCAGACUUUUCUUUCCGCCCCAUCUUAACUGUAACUUCUUAGACAUUUGUGAAAACUGGUAAUACACUGCAGACAAUAGUACUUUCCAGUACUUCCCCAUCUUCAAAAUAGACAUCAAGGCAUCAAGAGGUGCUGGCAAAGGGGGUCGGCUUACAAGACGGAGCUGUCAUUGGAGCAAAGAAGAAAUCAAGUGACAUUUGAGUACAUCAGAGCUCUGCUCUGUUCCAUUAAGAAGGUUCUGCUACGUGGCCUGAGCUGGUCUCCAACUCAUAACCUCGAGGGAACCCAACCAUCCAGUAUAGGUAUGCACCAUCCUGGUUAGCCGAAAGUAGACUUUAUUUCACUGUAUCUUUAAAGAAAUGAGCAAGCUAGCAAAGAAAUCUGUAUGUUGUUACUCCAAGAGAAACAACAGAGAGAGAGAAAGAGAGAGAGAGAGAGAGAGCAUGAGUGAGUAUAGAUAUAAGAGUAAGCACUCACCCUGCAAGCCAGUUGUUUUUCAAACCUUGGAGAAACAAAAGACCAUGGACCCAUGUUCUGCGGCUCCUCCUGACUCCAGAUGACAUCUGCAAAAAGAAGAAGUUGACUUCAACUUUCAAUCAACCAAAAGACUGAUUGUUGCUAAUGUGUGGGACUGGGGAGAGUCCUGACUCCAGACAAUCAAGAUGAGGAGACCUGGGGAUUGAAAGACUUCUUCUUUGCAUCAUAAUUGUUUAACUCAUAUAAACUCAUAUAUCAAGAAUCUUUAGAGGAACAGCUGGGUGGAUGGUUAAGAGAUAAAUUUCCAACUUCUGUUACAUAUAUGCUUUUCCAACAUGUUAGCAUUUUUAGAAUUUUUAUUAUGUGUGGUAUGCAUGUCUGUAUAAAUGGAUGCCAUGUGUGCAGGUGUCCAAGGAGGCCAGAAGAGGGCACUGCAUCCCUUAGAGCUAUUGCAUCCCUUAGCGCUGCAGUUAGAGGUGCUUGUGAGACACCCAAUGAAGAUACUGGAAAGCACUCAACUCCUGUGCCAUCUCUCUAAACCCCUAUUGUGUUCUCGCUCGCUCGCUCACUCGCUCUCCCCUCCCCUCCCCUUUUUUUCUGGCAAGUACCUAGUUGUGUGUUCACAACAACAAUCACAAUGCAAGAUUUCUUUGAAGCCCCACAGCUCCUCGUGCUGAUUGUAGUCAGGACCCUUCCCAGGCACACACAUUAGCAACAGUCAGUCUUUUCUCUAUCUGCACAGUUUCACCUUUACCAAAAUGCCUUAUAGAUGGAGUCAGACAGUUUUGGUUACCAAAAUACAUUUGCAAUUUGUCCAAGUUGUGGACAGCAUCCGCUCAUUCCUGGGCUCAGUGCUAGCCUGCUUGCUUUUAGCAUCCUUGAGGCCCUGGAGAUUGAUACCAUGCAGUAUCUCCUUCCUAUUUUAUUGACAAGUAUGCUAUUCCACAUGCUCUUGCUACAGGGAACUGUGUUUAUUCAUUCCCUAGGUGAGGAACAGAUUGACUGUUCCCAGCUUGAGACAAUUACAAAUAAAGUUGCUUUUUAAAAAAUAAAGGGCUGGACAGUGGUGGCGCAAGCCUUUAGUCCCAGCACUUGGGAGGCAGAGGCAGGCGGAUUUCUGAGUUCAAGGCCAGCCUGAUCUACAGAGUGAGUUCCAGGACAGCUAGGGCUACACAGGGAAACCCUGUCUCGAAAAAAAC
rnacentral:lncRNA from 1 species